rnacentral:tRNA from 2 species
ACUUGUAAAAUUAGUAAUUUGAUUUGAAAUCAUUUUUGUUGUUUUUGUUAACAAUGCAAGUU